AGUUCAGUAUCCCAAACCCUAUUUAGAAGAUGUAUAAAUAUAAUAGAUAAUAGAUGAAGCUGCCGUCGCUUCACAGUAUCUCUUUCUCGCCGACCAUGUACAAUUCAAGCAAAGAUAGGAUUAGUGAUCUUCCUGACGCAAUUCAUGAAGACACCCUUGCCCAGAAAUGUCCAUUUCCCUAUCUUAUACAAUCUAACUCAAAUGGAGUUUGAUUUUAACUUUAACUUUAAUGACAAGUGGAGGUGGAUUCUAAAAAUGCUUCAACAGAGUCCUAACCUUCAACAUCUUAUCAUUCACGAGGAAAUAGAAAAUGAAAAUGGAAUCAAUGACAACAAUUGGGAGGACCCAUCCUUUGUUCCAGAAUGUCUUUCAUCUCGUCUCAGAACAUGUUUGUUGAGAUGUUCUAGAGGCACAGAGUGUGAGGUUAAAUUUGUAGAAUAUGUCAUGAAGAACUCAAAAGUAUUAAGUAUUAUGACAAUUCACAACUCCUCUUCUAUAAGUUUAAACACAAAGGAUGAAAUAUUACAUAUUUGUCCAAAGGCUUGUAAACUUAUAUUUGAUUGAUGAUAUUGGAAAUUCUAAGAAUUUGGUCAUAUUUUGUCUUCAAUGUUAUAUUGACUUUUAUAUGUAAUUUAAAUUCAUUUUAGUUCAUCAACUUUGUACUUUUCCCUUUCUUACUCUUUCUGUUUUAUAUUUUAGCUGACCUACAAGUGUUUAUCAAAUACUUAUAUAAUGCAUAGUUACACAUUGUGUUGAAGUCUCAUGUACAAGUGUAUGAAGUGCUGUUUUGGAAA